rnacentral:sRNA from 1 species
GGGCGAGAGACCGAUAGC